GAUGAAGAACGCAGCGAAAUGCGAUACGUAAUGUGAAUUGCAAAUUCAGUGAAUCAUCGAGUCUUUGAACGCACAUUGCGCCCCCUGGUAUUCCGGGGGGCAUGCCUGUCCGAGCGUCAUUGCUGCCCUCAAGCACGGCUUGUGUGUUGGGCCCCGUCCUCCGAUCCCGGGCGACGGGCCCGAAAGGCAGCGGCGGCACCGCGUCCGGUCCUCGAGCGUAUGGGGCUUUGUCACCCGCUCUGUAGGCCCGGCCGGCGCUUGCCGAUCAACCCAAAUUUUUAUCCAGGUUGACCUCGGAUCAGGUAGGGAUACCCGCUGAACUUAAGCAUAUCAAUAAGCGGAGGA
rnacentral:misc_RNA from 1 species